rnacentral:siRNA from 1 species
CCUGUCGGGACCCGAAAGAU